rnacentral:rRNA from 1 species
GACGAACGCUGGCGGCGUGCCUAAUACAUGCAAGUCGAACGCUGAAGGAGGAGCUUGCUUCUCUGGAUGAGUUGCGAACGGGUGAGUAACGCGUAGGUAACCUGCCUGGUAGCGGGGGAUAACUAUUGGAAACGAUAGCUAAUACCGCAUAAUAUUGACUAUUGCAUGAUAGUCAGUUGAAAGGUGCAACUGCACCACUACCAGAUGGACCUGCGUUGUAUUAGCUAGUUGGUGGGGUAACGGCUCACCAAGGCGACGAUACAUAGCCGACCUGAGAGGGUGAUCGGCCACACUGGGACUGAGACACGGCCCAGACUCCUACGGGAGGCAGCAGUAGGGAAUCUUCGGCAAUGGACGGAAGUCUGACCGAGCAACGCCGCGUGAGUGAAGAAGGGUUUCGGGUCGUAAAGCUCUGUUGUAAGAGAAGAACGAGUGUGAGAGUGGAAAGCUCACACUGUGACGGUAUCUUACCAGAAAGGGACGGCUAACUACGUG